rnacentral:rRNA from 1 species
CGAACGAAGCACUUUAUUGGAUUUUCUUCGGAGAUGAAGAUGUUGUGACUGAGUGGCGGACGGGUGAGUAACGCGUGGGCAACCUGCCCUGUACCGGGGGAUAACAGCCGGAAACGGCUGCUAAUACCGCAUAAGCGCACGAGAGCGCAUGCUUUUGUGUGAAAAACUCCGGUGGUACGGGAUGGGCCCGCGUCUGAUUAGCUUGUUGGCGGGGUAGAGGCCCACCAAGGCGACGAUCAGUAGCCGACCUGAGAGGGUGACCGGCCACAUUGGGACUGAGACACGGCCCAAACUCCUACGGGAGGCAGCAGUGGGGAAUAUUGCACAAUGGGGGAAACCCUGAUGCAGCGACGCCGCGUGAGUGAGGAAGUAUUUCGGUAUGUAAAGCUCUAUCAGCAGGGAAGAAAAAAUGACGGUACCUGACUAAGAAGCACCGGCUAAAUACGUGCCAGCAGCCGCGGUAAUACGUAUGGUGCAAGCGUUAUCCGGAUUUACUGGGUGUAAAGGGAGCGCAGGCGGUACGGCAAGUCUGAUGUGAAAGCCCGGGGCUCAACCCCGGUACUGCAUUGGAAACUACCGGACUGGAGUGUCGGAGGGGUAAGUGGAAUUCCUAGUGUAGCGGUGAAAUGCGUAGAUAUUAGGGGGAACACCAGUGGCGAAGGCGGCUUACUGGACGAUCACUGACGCUGAGGCUCGAAAGC